GCGCAGCAGUCGAGAAUCUUCCCAAUGGGCGAAAGCCUGAGGGAGCGACGCCGCGUGCGGGAUGAAGGGCUUCGGCCUGUAAACCGCUUUUAUUUGGGAAGAAGUGCAAACUGACGGUACCAAAUGAAUAAGAGGUUGCUAACUCUGUGCCAGCAGCAGCGGUAAUACAGAGACCUCAAGCGUUAUCCGGAUUUAUUGGGCGUAAAGCGUCCGCAGGUGGUUCGUUAAGUCAAUGGUCAAAUCACGGGGCUCAACCCCGCAACUGCCAUUGAUACUGGCGAGCUUGAGGCC
rnacentral:rRNA from 1 species